CAAUAGCGUAUAUUAAAGUUGUUGCAGUUAAAAAGCUCGUAGUUGAAUUUUUGCUUGCCGCCGAUGUCGGAACUUCCGUACGUUCGGCGGCGUGCAUCCUUGGGUGGAACCUGUGUGGCAUUAGGUUGUCGUGCAGGGGAUGCUCAUCGUUUACUGUGAAAAAAUUAGAGUGUUCAAAGCAGGCUUACGCCGUUGAAUAUAUUAGCAUGGAAUAAUAAGAUAGGACCUUGGUACUAUUUUGUUGGUUUGCGCACCGAGGUAAUGAUUAACAGGGACAGUUGGGGGUAUUCGUAUUCCAUUGUCAGAGGUGAAAUUCUUGGAUUUCUGGAAGACGAACUACUGCGAAAGCAUUUACCAAGGAUGUUUNCAUUAA
rnacentral:rRNA from 1 species